CAAUUAAAACACAAACGAAGAGUGACUGACCUGAUUCCAAUGGUAGUUACCGAAGAUGCAGUAACCAUGCAAGCAAGACGUCAUCGAUAAAACUCCAAUCUUUAUGUUUGCCGUGACAAACAGAAACACCAACUCUUCUGUAAACUCCUAGCUUUAUGACAAUGCUCUAUGGGAAGCCUUAGUUGUCGUGUCUAGGGUUAGCAGGGACCGGUGUUUAUAUACUAGCCAAAAAGUCUUAGAUUCCGUCCAUAAGGGAAAACUAAAACUCUCCUUUCUUGGCUCUCAAGUAAAAUAUCAUAAUCAUAUUCAAUUAAGGAUUCUAUCAAUCCUAUUUCCAAUAUAAGACACCUUAUAUAGGAUUGAUAUCUUUAAGAGAUCAAAUCACAAUUAACAUUAUUCUCCAAUAUUACAUUUCUAUUACAUAUAGUAGACCACUUAAGGUUGAUUUAUAUUGGAUAAAUCCAACAUUCUCCCACUUGGUCUACAAAAUGUAAUAUUCACGUUUAUACUUGAGAUUGGAGACUAAUGUCACUUUAGUGGCCAUGUAACAGUGAUUACAUCUCGUCCUUAAUGCAGCUUCUGUCAAAUGCAUUUCUUAACAUGGAACUAACAAGGUUGUAGGAUUGACACAACCCAGAACCUUCAUAAUCACACAUGCUAAGAUCCUCAUUCACAUGAAACAUAGAUUAUGAUCAAGAGAUGAAACUUUAAAAUUAAACUUUAAAUUAACCAAAAUGUCUUACUUUAUAUCAUCUCAGGUCCACCUUAUUGUAACUCACAAGUUACACUUUAUGCUUUUUCGAAGCCUUAAAUCUGCCAAUGCAGAUAUCCUUCAUCUAAUGAAACCACCAUAACCUGCAGGUGUGAAUACAUCUCCAAAACAAUCAUGCAUCACUUUCAUUAGAUCAAUAAUAAUACAAACGAUGUUUGUAGCCAACGGACACAACUGAAAAUACCAAAUAGGCACAUGUCCAAGUAAAAUAUCCCAAAAACUUCAUAAAACAAAUUAAUUCAACACUUGUGAGCAAGAUGAAUUAAUAUGUUUUUGACACUAAUCUAUGCACCAUACCAGUUACUUUCAUAGUGAUUUCCAACACCUGCGGGCAAGAUGGAAAUCCUCACAACUGAUGUAGUGCACAAACCAUGCCAUGACAUUUAAUAUGCAAUUUGAUAACAACUUGAAAUCUGAUAUAUAUUUCAUCAGAUGAUUGACUAGCACACACAAAUGUGACUUAAUGAAUCCAACUGGAGAUUAAUAUGAAUACAUGGAUUCUAUACAUACUUUAUAGGUCAUCUGCAAAUGUAAGGCAUUACUAACACGAAACUCAAACUCCCACUGAUCUGCAAUAUCGUUACUUAAUUUGCAAAUCAAUACUUAAAUCAUACUUUUGAAAAUAUGCCUUUGGGAAUAGCCUUACUUAGUCAAUGACUGCAUAUUACCUCAAUGAAAGGUACAACUAAGCACAAAAGCAUUCAUCACUGUUACACAAAAACAUGCAUCCAAGAACCAUCUUAUAUGUAUUAAUAAGUCCACAUUUAUGCUAAGUCCUUAUGAGCCUCAAAACAAAUGAUUAACCAAGAAAUCCAAAUGAUUGCAAAUAACAGAAAAAUGUACGCAUAUACCAAGUAUCCAUUCGUGCAACUUAAACAUAUUAUAGACAUUCAAGUAACACAAAUUCAUGGAAGAUAGAAUAACGCUUUAAUAGAUUCAUGCAAGUCCACUUAACGCUCAAACUUUAGAACAACUCCCACUAAGUUUUCAGAGUUUAUACUUGCAAAUAAGUUAAUGAGUGUGAAGCCCAAUUUUCGUUCACUAAUUCUCCCACUUGGGCAAACACUCUUUCAAAGAUGUACCUAAAUAAAACUGCUUUAUAUUUUGGACAUAAUAAAAUAGACAUCACAACCAAUAUAAAGUUGUCAAACUGAAUUUCAACAAUGAGUUACACUUACUUUAGAAUUUAUCAUAAUUAAUUUACAAGCUUGAUUGCUACCAAAGUUAUACUGAUCAAAAUUGACAUACUAAUCUUCAUAAAAUAAAAAUAUAGAGCCGUUUUGGGUCAAAAUAGUAGUCUAAAAUCAUGUCUCAAAAAGACCAACACAAUCUGCCAGUAAAACUGCCUAUACGAGCAUGGGUUACUAGUAAAUUCACCAUAAUUAAAAUACAUGGCAGAAAAUUACGAAACUUUGCAGACACAUAUUAGACAUCUAUAUGUUGAACAUAUCCAAAAUUCAGGUCAUUUGGUAACCAUUAGACGUGUCAUUCACCGGAUUUAAAUCAAGACACACAAUCUGCCAGAAACAAUUAUGUGCAUCUAUCAUGAAUUUAUAUAUCCAUAACAAAUUCAAUUUCAUAUCAUUUCAAUAUCGAUGUCCAAAAGAAACUUUAGUAGUCAAAUUUCAUCCUCUAAACCGACAUCAUAAUUCAAAUUGAAAAGAUUUACAAGCAUAAGACUUAAACAAUGCGUACCUUAGCAAUCAUUGAUUAACCUUCAUGGGUCCAAUACUUUGCAUCAACAAGUCUCAUAAAGAGAUACAAAAUACAUCAUGAUGCAACCGAUUUCCAUGCCUUCAUACCACAACCUUUUAUGGGGCUCAUUGUGGAAAUAUUUGUCACUAAUGGCAUGGAACUUUAUCCCAGUAAACUUCAUGAAACUAAAUUAAUUUACACAUGUAGGCAAGAAAAUUAACUAGUUUCUAGUACUAGAUUUUAUGUCACAAAAGUUCCUUCAUGAAAAACUUCAACACCUGUAGGCAAGAUGAAGGUUUUCACAACUUCUGUGAAAUAAAACCCAUACUAUGCCAUCUUAAUUAAACUAAAAGAAGUAAUCCACACCUGUAGGCAAGAAGAUUAUCCCUUUUAUUCUAAUUAAGAUGCAAAGUUGACCGAAGUAACUCAAAAACAUAGUCCCAUUGCAAACUAAGCCGUUGCAUCUUGCUUAGUUGAAAAGGCAUUGGUCAACUCCGCCCUGAAACAAUACAAGAAGUCACAUGGAUUAAUUAACUGUAAGUGACAAAAUUAUGAUAACCUGAUUCGAGCUUUGAAUGUUUGCCAACAAAUGGCACUAAUUCCUUCAUGACUCCCUUUGACAUUAAAUUAAUCUCAAAAACCUGACAGCAUACUUGAAAGAGAUUAAUCACAUAUAGAACAAGUUUUAUUCCACCACAAGAAUGUCAAUACUUAUCAUUAUGGAGUCAAUUACUUAAUAGAAAUACUUUAUGUAAUGGGAAAGAACAAUACAUUCCUUUAAUUUAAAAGCUAAAUCACUCAAAUCAAACGGGUUCCUUUCCUUUUAUAUAUUUCUUUCCGUAGUACAAAACUACUAAACAUAGAGCAUUAAAAUCAUGCAUUAGCUUUGUAAAUACCAAAUUAAAUAAAAGGAACAACCAAAAUUAUUUUCUUCCAUAGAAAAUAUCUCCAAUAUAUGCCCUAUAUUAGCCUUGAAAAGUUUCUUUUCUUCUCCCCUUAUGGCACAUAAAAAUUUACUAAUUAAAGCACUGUUUAAAUUCUUUAGGCAUAGGAAAAACCACAAACAAUAAUACAUGUUUGAAAAUUCAUGCUUAUCAAUUUAGUCACAUACUUUGAAUGAAAUACAUACCUCAUGCCUUCAUAUGUUCACUACUUCUUUAUAAACAUAUGUAUAAUCACAUGAUUAACCAAAAAUUAUAAUGCAUCACAUUCCAAGCUCACGGCAAUGUUUAAAAUUGCAUCAUCCCAUACAUGCUUGAACCAACACGUCAUUUGCUUAAUUAUGUUGCCAAAAUUUAUAUUAAAUUACCUUCAUGUAUAAGAAAUACAUUAUAUUCAUUGACAAGCAUGUAUAAAGUUGAUAUGCGGAGAACUUAACAUAUGCAUCCCUGAAACAUAACUUUAAUAUAUGUUAUCACAAUCAUAGGCACAAUAUAUCCGAAUAGUAUUGAUAAAUUAUAGGAUAUGACUAAUUUCGUCUCCUACAAUCAGAAAGAUGUAACGACAUGGUUGGAUUUUGCAGGAACAAUAUAACACUUCAUGACUCCAACAUAACCAUUCCUUAUAUAAUUUAUCAUGAAGACCAAAAGGAAAGAUCAUACUAGAAUUUCAUAACCGAUGUAAUACGAACCUCUUCAUUGGGCUUGUUCGACUGAGGGAUCUUAAGAAAUUCUCCAAUGCAAGGUUAGAACAAAUGUAAAUAUAUAUACAUGCUAUGCGAACUGUAGAUACAUAAUUGGCUUUAGAAAAUUAUGUAUACUUGCUUGAUCAAACAAUUGCUGGCACUUAUGCAAUUGUUUCUUGUCACAUUAGCGUAUCACCCAUAGCAAUUCAUAUAGAAUAUAAUUCAUGGAAAAUAAUAUUAGUUCUUAUUCAAUAAACAUAUGCCCAUUUAGAUACGUAUUGCCAAAAUAUAUAAAAUUGGAUCCAUAUUCAUGACAUACUUAACCGAUACAUGGUAAUCAAUGUAUUUACAUGCUCUACAAUAAUUAGCACAUCACUCAUGCAAUUAUAUCUUUAUCUGAUUACCAAUUUAAGCUUUCAGGGAUCAACCCGAAUAUAUAUCAACCAAAAUACCAUAAACCAUCAUGGAAAUUAAAAGUCAAUGAAACAAACCAUUUUGCUUUGGUAGAUGACUUUGUUCUGCUUGCUAAUCGGAGGGACCUCUUCAGUAAGGUCAGAACAAAUAUAGCAUGCUCACAAAAAUUGAGAUCAUCAGUGGCACAUGGUAAAUCAAUUCAACCAAAACACUAGCAUGAAGAUUGAAAUAGAACAAAAACUGUUAUUCUUCUUAGCGCCAUGAUUUCCACUGUAAAAUACAUAAUAUAAUACCAAGCCUUACAUAUAUGCUUCUUUACGUUCCUAUAUGAUUAUAGGAUUAACGUCUUCAUAAUUCAUGAUCCAGCUUAGGAACUUUUAUGUCCUUUUUAGGGUCAAAACUCAAUGUUCCACGGUGUAAUGUUUCAUGACCAAUUAAACAUACACCAUGACGCAGGGAAUAAAUCGAGAUUUAAGCACAAGUCGACCUUAUCAUAACCCCUAGUACCCCAACAACCCUGAUCGAUGCUAUACACUCCAAAAACACUCAAAAUUCCAAUAGGUUGAAUACCUUUGUCUUUGGGAAAGACUCGGGCCCAAUCGUCCUACAACAAGUUGAGAGAGCGGAUGUAACAUCCGAGUUUUAUUGUUGCCCCAUUUCCUUCUUUGACAUGAAUCAACCAACCCCUUUCAUUUGUAGUUUGUGCGAGCUGAUAGACUACGCUCUCGUUGAGGUCACGAAUAAAUUUCAUGCUUCAAUACUAUAAGAAUAUUAUAUAAAUUCUAUGCUUCAAUUCCAUAAUUUAAUUCAUGCUUUAUCAAAAGCACCUAUAAGCGUAGUUCAAGAUAAUAUUAUAUAAUCCAACAUUAGACCUAAUAGGUUUUAAUUAUAUAACCAGUGGCUCUGAUACCAAUUGUUAGCCUUAUAAGGUUAUACAAUUAAAACACAAACGAAGAGUGACUGACCUGAUUCCAAUGGUAGUUACCGAAGAUGCAGUAACCAUGCAAGCAAGACGUCAUCGAUAAAACUCCAAUCUUUAUGUUUGCCGUGACAAACAGAAACACCAACUCUUCUGUAAACUCCUAGCUUUAUGACAAUGCUCUAUGGGAAGCCUUAGUUGUCGUGUCUAGGGUUAGCAGGGACCGGUGUUUAUAUACUAGCCAAAAAGUCUUAGAUUCUGUCCAUAAGGGAAAACUAAAACUCUCCUUUCUUGGCUCUCAAGUAAAAUAUCAUAAUCAUAUUCAAUUAAGGAUUCUAUCAAUCCUAUUUCCAAUAUAAGACACCUUAUAUAGGAUUGAUAUCUUUAAGAGAUCAAAUCACAAUUAACAUUAUUCUCCAAUAUUACAUUUCUAUUACAUAUAGUAGACCACUUAAGGUUGAUUUAUAUUGGAUAAAUCCAACA
rnacentral:lncRNA from 1 species